UCAAACUUGGUCAUUUAGAGGAAGUAAAAGUCAUAACAAGGUUUCCGGGUGAACCUGCAGAAGGAUCAUUAACAAUUUGACCCUUAUUCACCUUGUGUGCAGUUUAGAAAAAAGCCUACUUUGGAAAGAUUAAUUCUUUUAAUCUUUCCAAAGAGGUUAUUAUAAUCAAUCAUUUUUUCUUUUCUAUAAUUAAAAUAUAAAUUUAAAUAAAAAAAACAACUUUCAACAAUGGAUCUCUUGGCUCUUGCAUCGAUGAAGAACGCAGC
rnacentral:misc_RNA from 1 species